GAGUUUGAUCUUGGCUCAGGAUGAACGCCGGCGGUGUGCCUAAUACAUGCAAGUCGUACGCACUGGCCCAACUGAUUGAUGGUGCUUGCACCUGAUCGACGAUGGAUCACCAGUGAGUGGCGGACGGGUGAGUAACACGUAGGUAACCUGCCCUGUACAGGGGAUAACAAUCAGAAUGACUGCUAAUACCGCAUAAGACCACAGCACCGCAUGGUGCAGGGGUAAAACUCCGGUGGUACAGGAUGGACCCGCGUCUGGAUUAGCUGGUUGGUGAGGUAACGGCUCACCAAGGCGACGAUCAGGUAGCCGGCUUGAGAGA
rnacentral:rRNA from 1 species